rnacentral:pre_miRNA from 1 species
AGGAGGAACAACCACAGUGGCGGCGGCCAGCUCUGGAGCCCUAGAGUCAGCCCCUGCAGUAACUCCAGAGCUCUCCGUCUGCAGGGCCUGGAGGCUCCGGGGCGGG